UGCGCCCGGGUCUGCGCCCGGGUCUGCGCCCGGGUCUGCGCCCGGGUCUGCGCCCGGGUCUGCGCUUGUAAUAACCUGCGUCUGACUCAGAGUCCUGCACCUGUACACAACAGCGACACUCACAUAGUUACUGAAACGGGCGGGUGGUGAUCACACCACCGGGUCUCUAAAAAUGGACCCGUGCAGGACUCUGAUUGGACUGAUCUGCGGCGUUAGUCCAACCUGGAAACUCAAAUGUCGUGACCGUAGUUGAUGGUGAAGAGGCCGAUACAGACACGAGUUUGAACCAAACAUCACAUUUUGAACAAAUCUGCACGAAAACAUCAAAAUAAAGUCAAAGACAGAGACACACUUCUAUUUUAGACACAUUUACACAGAGAAUCAGGAGAAAACAAGUGAUUUUAGUGUUUAGUGGCUCUUUAAAAAUCACUAAACACAAACAAACUGGAUUUAUUUUGACGGUAACAGGAGCGACCUCGGGGAAAGAAGCCGCCUGUUAUUAACGUUCUGAUCUGGAUUUAGGGACAAAAUAGUGAAAUAAAAACCCCAGGAUCAUGUAGAGCAGGUUAACACGAACAUUUUAAGAUCUAGAUCAGGACUUUGACAGCAGCAGGUGCAGAGAGAGAGGAGACGUUUUUUCAAUAGAAAGUGACCUGGAGCCAGAGUCAGUGGAGCCGGAGUUGCCCCCGUGCUCACUUCCUUGGAUUUAACUGGAAAACUUUGGUGGUGUUUGUGUGUGAGCCCAGACUGCACCACCGGACGCCAUCCUGAUUUUUACCAAACUCAAACUCCAAUCACCAGUUUUUAUACAUUUGAGGAAAAACCUGUUGUAGCUGGAUUUUUUAAAUGUUUUUUUCAUUUUUAUUUUAGUUUAAAAGUCCCAUAUUACACAAAAUCUUCUCUCAUGAGCUUUAAGUCGUGUUCUAAUGUUCCUCGUCAAAAACAGAGCUGGAGUUUUGUUUGUUUGAGUAAAUCUUUAUUAUUAGUCCGUCCACAUCUCCAAAGCUCCAAAGGCUCUGUUCCACCUUGUGACAUCACAAGGUGGAACAGAGCAUUUUGAGCUCUGGAGAUGUGGACGGACUAAUAAUAAAAGUGUGAAUGAAACAAACAGAGCUGCGGGUCUGUUUUUGAGGAGCGUUCGAUCCGUGUGACGUGAGCGUUUAAACCUCUGAGUCUCUGCUGGUUUCAAAUGCAACUUCUCCACUGUGAUGCAGAUUUAAUAUUUAACCCUUUUAUUUUUUAUGUUUUUGUCUGAAUAUUUGUGUAUUUUUUUGUGUAAACAGGGUUGGGACUGAAAAUAAUUUGAUCUACAUUUGACUUUUCUAAAUAUGUGUAUCGUUUCUGAGAGAUUCUGAUUUUAGAAUUUAAUAUUGUAAAAGUUUAAAAGGUUUAAAAUACUGGAAAUGACUUAGUCCUGGUUUAGUCCUGGUUUAGUCCCAGUUUGGACCUGGAUUGGACCUGGUUUAGUCCUUUUUUAAUCCUAGUUUAAUCCUGGUUCAAAACUUUAGUCCCUAGUGUCUAGUUUGGCUCCCAGUUUAGUCCUGGUUUAGUACUGGUUUGGACCUGGUUUAGUCCUGUUUCAAUCCUGGUUUAGUCCUGGUUUAGACCUUGUUUAGUCCUGGUUCAGUCCUGAUUUAGUCCAGGUUUAGACCUUGUGUAGUCCUGGUUUAGACCUUGUUUAGUCCUGGUUCAGUCCUGAUUUAGUCCAGGUUUAGACCUUGUGUAGUCCUGGUUUAGACCUUGUUUAGUCCUGGUUUAGUCCUGAUUUAGUCCAGGUUUAGACCUUGUUUAGUCGUGGUUUAGAUCUUGUAUAGUAGUUUCCUGGUUUAGUCCUGGUUUAAUGUCAGUGUUGAUGUUUUCACUUUGGGACAAAAUGACCUGAACUUUCUGUUUCUUGUAUCACUCGACUCGUCCACCAGGAGGCGCCAAAACCAAACGGUUUGAUCUUAAACACCUUUAAACCCGCGAGUGACAAAUGAUUUUAACCAAAGAAAAAAACACGAGGUUUUAUGUGGACUUUUGUGUCUUUCUCUCACGUCCAAACCUGCCUGAAGACAUUUUACACUCAUCCAUGCAUGUCUGAGUCAUCUAGUGAUCUCUCCUGGGCCCUAUUCAAACCCUCCCACACGACAAUUUUCUAUAAAUCCACAAAAACACGACGCAAAACUGUGCACAGCGUCUCCACGAACCUGAUGUGACGAGCUGCUCGGUGUGCUGUGAUGGCGCUCUGAACGGGGAGCGACUUAGCACAGAGAGCAAAAAAAAUAAAUAAAUAAAAUAAAAAACCACAGUGAUCUAAACAUGUGAAACCCCCGGGGACGUCCCAGAGCCGCUCUUUAAACUGACCUGAGUUGCGUAACGAGAUAAUCGGGUGUUUGGGUGGAUUGUUUUUCUCGGUUGUGGGUUUUGUUUUGUUUUAAUUUUGUAUUUUUCAGAAUUUUUUUUGUGUUAAUAUUUCCGUUUAAAAGUAACAUUUAUUUGUUUGUGAAACUUGUGUCACAGAGAAAGUGCCUGUCCAGAUGUUUAACACGUUUUGAUGAAAAAAAAAACACAAAAAACAAAACACAUGUAGUAUUUAUUAAAAUGUUUUCAGAAUAAGA